rnacentral:SRP_RNA from 1 species
GCCACACAUGGUGGCAUGUGCUUGUAGUUCCAGCUACUCGGGAGGCAGAGGCAGGGUGGAUCCCUUGGGCCCAGGGGGUCUGGGGUUGUAGUGCACUAUGCUCAUCGUAUGUCCUCACUAAGUUUGGCAUUAAUAUGGUAACCUCCUGGAAGUAGGAGACUGCCAGAUUGCAUAAGGAGUGAACCGGCCCAGGUAUGAAAUGAAGCAGGUCUAAACUCCCCUGCUGAUCAGUAGUGGGAUGGUGCCUGUGAAUAGCCACUGCACUCCAGACUGGGCAACACAGCAAGACCCUGU